GACGAACGCUGGCGGCGUGCUUAACACAUGCAAGUCGAGCGGUAAGGCCCUUUCGGGGGUACACGAGCGCGAACGGGUGAGUAACACGUGGGUGACCUGCCCUCAGCUCUGGGGAUAACGCCUGGGAAACCGGGUCUAAUACCGGAUAUGACUCCAUGACGCAGUGUUGUGGGGUGGAAAGCCUUGUGCGGCUGAGGAUGGGCCCGCGGCCUAUCAGCUUGGUUGGUGGGGUGAUGGCCUACCAAGGCGACGAC
rnacentral:rRNA from 1 species